rnacentral:rRNA from 1 species
GAUGAACGCUGGCGGCGUGCCUAAUACAUGCAAGUCGAGCGAACAGACGAGAGUGCUUGCUCUCUCUGACGUUAGCGGCGGACGGGUGAGUAACACGUGGGUAACCUACCUAUAAGACUGGGAUAACUUCGGGAAACCGGAGCUAAUACCGGAUAAUAUUUAGCUUCGCAUGAAGCAAUAGUGAAAGACGGUUCUGCUGUCACUUAUAGAUGGACCCGCGGUGUAUUAGCUAGUUGGUGAGGUAACGGCUCACCAAGGCAACGAUACAUAGCCGACCUGAGAGGGUGAUCGGCCACACUGGAACUGAGACACGGCCCAGACUCCUACGGGAGGCAGCAGUAGGGAAUCUUCCGCAAUGGACGAAAGUCUGACGGAGCAAUGCCGCGUGAGUGAAGAAGGUUUUCGGAUCGUAAAACUCUGUUGUAAGGGAAGAACAAGUACGUUAGUAACUGAACGUACCUUGACGGUACCUUACCAGAAAGCCACGGCUAACUACGUG